AUACGUAGGUGGCAAGCGUUGUCCGGAAUUACUGGGCGUAAAGGAUGCGUAGGCGGAUAUGUAAGUCAGAUGUGAAAUACCCGGGCUCAACUUGGGUGCUGCAUUUGAAACUGCAUGUCUAGAGUGCGGGAGAGGAAAGUGGAAUUCCUAGUGUAGCGGUGAAAUGCGUAGAGAUUAGGAAGAACACCAGUGGCGAAGGCGGCUUACUGGUCCAUUACUGACGCUGAGGUGCGAAAGCGUGGGGAGC
rnacentral:rRNA from 1 species